rnacentral:rRNA from 1 species
CCUACGGGGGGCAGCAGUGGGGAAUAUUGGACAAUGGGCGAAAGCCUGAUCCAGCCAUGCCGCGUGUGUGAAGAAGGCCUUCGGGUUGUAAAGCACUUUCAGUGGGGAAGAAAGCCUUGGGGCUAAUACCCUCGAGGAAGGACAUCACCCACAGAAGAAGCACCGGCUAACUCCGUGCCAGCAGCCGCGGUAAUACGGAGGGUGCGAGCGUUAAUCGGAAUUACUGGGCGUAAAGCGCGCGUAGGCGGUCUGAUAAGCCGGUUGUGAAAGCCCCGGGCUCAACCUGGGAACGGCAUCCGGAACUGUCAGGCUAGAGUGCAGGAGAGGAAGGUAGAAUUCCCGGUGUAGCGGUGAAAUGCGUAGAGAUCGGGAGGAAUACCAGUGGCGAAGGCGGUCUUCUGGACUGACACUGACGCUGAGGUGCGAAAGCGUGGGUAGCAAACAGGAUUAGAUACCCGAGUAGUC